GUCAUCAACCUGACUAAUGUUCACCCUGGGGAGGGCACUGUGCCGGGGUCCCAUUCUCAAGGUGCUUGCAGUCUAAUGAAGACAGUAAGAAAAGUCCCAUGGUAGUAACGGCUAACGUGUCCUCGGUGUUCUAAAGUGACACUGUUUCUAAAUCUUUACCUCUGUAUCACUCGCUAACCUCACAGGACUCGAUAAUUUAUCAACGUCCCUUGAAAAUUGUCUCAAGACUGCAGCUUCCUUGAGGGAGAGGCUGGAGCUGUAUUCAUCAUUGGAGCCUCAGUGACAACACACAGUGAGAUAUGAGAGUCUCAGAAGACACAUCGCUGAAUUACUAGUCAUAGCCAUGUCUAACAGAUUAAAGACCUGAAUCGUGUAUUUGUUGACUGAAUGAACUUAUAUAAAGUAGGCAUGGGGCCUGAAUUCUAAUGAGAGUUUUGGAUGGAGCCUGAAACCCUUUUGCAUGAAAGGCAUUUCUUUGUGAAACAGUUAAUUCAUAUUUAUGAUGCUUAUACCAUGAUGGAAUCAUUUUGGAAGGAAAAAAAAAAACACCUUUGAGUCCUGGAAUAUUUUAAAGGCAUAGAAGGGGUUAACUGCCAUAGAUCCCCCUCACCUUAUCUUUAAUGUAUUUCUUUAUACAACGGAAAAGAAAAAUUGUCAUGAGCCAAAUAGGUAACCAAAUAUGCCUCAGCUUUAUCUACUGCACAUAUAACUGCACCAAACAUUUUGAUUAAAUGGACUGAAUUCAGUGAAGAUGGUGUUGUUGGUUAUGACGGCUAUCUUUUUUUUUUUUUUUUUUAAUUUUGUCUUUUUAGGGCCACACCCGAGGCAUUUGGAAGC